rnacentral:rRNA from 1 species
GAUGAACGCUGGCGGCGUGCCUAAUACAUGCAAGUCGGGCGAACGGACGAGAAGCUUGCUUCUCUGAUGUUAGCGGCGGACGGGUGAGUAACACGUGGAUAACCUACCUAUAAGACUGGGAUAACUUCGGGAAACCGGGGCUAAUACCGGAUAAUAUUUUGAACCGCAUGGUUCAAAAGUGAAAGACGGUCUUGCUGUCACUUAUAGAUGGAUCCGCGCUGCAUUAGCUAGUUGGUAAGGUAACGGCUUACCAAGGCAACGAUGCAUAGCCGACCUGAGAGGGUGAUCGGCCACACUGGAACUGAGACACGGUCCAGACUCCUACGGGAGGCAGCAGUAGGGAAUCUUCCGCAAUGGGCGAAAGCCUGACGGAGCAACGCCGCGUGAGUGAUGAAGGUCUUCGGAUCGUAAAACUCUGUUAUUAGGGAAGAACAUAUGUGUAAGUAACUGUGCACAUCUUGACGGUACCUAAUCAGAAAGCCACGGCUAACUACGUG